rnacentral:rRNA from 1 species
CCUACGGGAGGCAGCAGUGGGGAAUUUUCCGCAAUGGGCGCAAGCCUGACGGAGCAACGCCGCGUGAGGGAUGAAGGCCUCUGGGCUGUAAACCUCUUUUCUCAAGGAAGAAGACCUGACGGUACUUGAGGAAUAAGCCACGGCUAAUUCCGUGCCAGCAGCCGCGGUAAUACGGGAGUGGCAAGCGUUAUCCGGAAUUAUUGGGCGUAAAGCGUCCGCAGGCGGCCUGUUAAGUCUGUCGUUAAAGCGUGGAGCUCAACUCCAUUUAAGCGAUGGAAACUGGAAGGCUAGAGUGUGGUAGGGGCAGAGGGAAUUCCCGGUGUAGCGGUGAAAUGCGUAGAUAUCGGGAAGAACACCAGUGGCGAAGGCGCUCUGCUGGGCCAUAACUGACGCUCAUGGACGAAAGCCAGGGGAGCGAAAGGGAUUAGAUACCCCUGUAGUCCUGGCCGUAAACGAUGAACACUAGGUGUCGGGGGAAUCGACCCCCUCGGUGUCGUAGCUAACGCGUUAAGUGUUCCGCCUGGGGAGUACGCACGCAAGUGUGAAACUUAAAUGAAUUGACGG